CUUGUGAGCAGCCUGCCGGUUCAGUGUGUGGAUCAAGAACACAUCCAUGAGCUCCUGACUUAGUUGGAUGGAAACACACAAAUAUCCCCUGAGACAUUCUGCAGAAAGGCAGGUCAACAGCGUGGCUGCAAAAUUAUAUCAAGAACACAUCACAUCAAUUAUAUGCCAGUGGACCAAACAAAUAGUGAAUCCCUUCUGGCAUUGCUGUCAGCAUUCUGACAACCUGGAAGAUUUCAUGAUACGCUGGAGAGGUGUUUUAUAUCAUGUGGUAAACCAGCAUGAGUGGGGGAGAGAUCCAGAUGAAGAUGAAAAGAUGAACCAUUGGGACAAUGUCAGCAUGACUCUCUUGGGACAGAGCGUACUGCACAAUGGCUAGAGCCUGAAAGCCCUGCACAUGAAAAGUUAAGAGACAUUCUUCUGGAUUCCAAAUUUGUGGAGAAAAUACGGCUUUACUUGAGCUACAGGUAUCAUAGAAAGUUUAACAAGAAAAGUGGACGAUGGACAGUGGAGCGUAAAAAAGUGAAGAAAGAAUACAGAUACUUCAUACCAUUAAAGCGAAUGAUUUUGCUGCGUCGACUGACAGACUCCACCAGAUGAUGGACUACAUCACUAGGAGAUGAUGAUCCAAGAAACAUACAGCCCUCAAUUGCCACAUAUCCACCCCCAGACACAAGUCAGUUGAUAGAUGAAUGCCACUCCAGAUUUCUGCGACAGACACACAAUUUGGAGAACAAUGAGGUUUUGUUUUAGAUGAUACUAAGUUGAUCACUGAAAUCUCCCACAUUGUCAAAGUGAGAGCGGACUGCAGAUCACAGUUCUGUCAGUUGAAAGUUAUGUAUUUAUCACCUAUUACUAUUUAGACUUAGCCAAGAAUUGCAUUGCAGUGUGGUACAAGUUAAGUUAUUUCUGCUCAAGUUCUGAUAAUCGUUUGCUGUAUUACAGUUGUAUUUUGAAAUGCUUAUGUCAUUCAAAACCAGGAAUGCACAGGGUUAUUGCACAUGCAUUACGCCACAGUUUGACUGUAUUUCUGACUCAAAGGUAGUUCAUGCAUUUAGUGACUUUGAGUGUUGAUUUUCCAUUAAGGUCUCAUACAUGCAUUAUUACUUUGGUACAUGAAAG